UUCUCUCCAUGAGAAUAUUCAUGGUGAAGCCAUAUUUCAUACUUUACCUUUAGCCACUGUUCUGUGUAAGUUGGGAAAUCAAAGUUUCGUUAUACAGCCCUCCUGGUAGAUAAUUGGAGGGAUUACAACACACUCUUGCAUGUGUGUAGAAAUGUCCUUUUUCCUGCCCACAUCGUACAGACAUAAUUGCAUGGUGUGUGCCUUUAGGGAUUUUUAGAUAUCUUCUGUGAACCAGAAGAAAUGCAGACAUGUUGGCAAAGUUAAUCAUUUUCGUUGUGGAUCUAACACUAGUUUUUGCCAUUUUUGUUAUCCUAUAUGCUGUUUACUUAAUAGCAAUCAUAGGUAUUUUCAUCUCAGUCCUUCUUUAUAUUUUCAAAGGGGGGAUGGAAAAAAACUGUGACUUCAGCAAGGGCAGUGUCUGGGUACUGGAUUCUAACAAUGCUCCUGGGAAGCCACUUACAGGCAACAUCAGCAGCUCCAGGAUGCUUCUCGCCCUUUCCAGCAGCAAGAGAAGGGGCUUCUUGCCCAAAGAAAGUGGUUCUCUCUUCUAAAGAAUCACGAGCUCUCUGCGGUGGAGGACAUGCCUGGGAAGACUUGCCAGAACACUGCACCCACCCAACGGAGAGGUCAUUCAAACUGCCAUCUACACAUGAAUUACAAAGAAAUUCUCCUAAACAAGCAGAAAUACUCAGAAGGCAUGAAGAGUCAUAAUGCUUCCAAAAAUGCAUGCAUUUAACAUUACAACUGUAGAAAACAUUUCAUAACUCUAAAAGCUCGACCUUGGAGAGGAUAAACAUGCUAUUCAACCAUAGCAGUAAAACUGUCGAGCUGCGUUUGGAGCUUGAAAUACCCGGAGCCACCAAUCUGUUCAAGAAUUAAAUUGGAAAAUAUUUCUUCAAAGUGACAUAGCCAACCAAACGUAAGCAUUUUUGUCACUGUAGCAAAACUGACCAGAGCCUUUACUGAUCUAGCAUGGCUCAAGUAGGGCAUCCUUUAUACCCCACCUGUGAAGUCUAUGCUUCCUUCUAGAUUUGACUAAAUGUGACUUCUCUUUCCACCAUAAUACCCUGUCAACACUGUGCUCAUCACACUUCUCACAUUAUGUAUUUGACUUUCUUUGGUUAUUUGUAAAGUUUUUCCUAUUUCAUCCUUUGAUUAUUUUUAAACUUUAGGAACUGCUUUUCAGCCAUUUUUUUAUCUGCACAUAAAUUAAGUUACAUUUUUGCUCUGUAUUCUCAAUUGUGUCCAUCCAAGUGCCAUGAAUAGUAAUAUUUUUCUGAAUCGAUAAAUCCCCAUAAAAUCUAUAAUUACACAUGUACAUAUUACAUACACAUAAUAUAUAAUACAUAUACAUUAUAUAUACAGGUAUAAAUACUGUAUAUUCCAAGGAAAAGUAGAAAUUAAAGGAGGACCAUUGGCUGAGAAAUGAUUUUAUCAGCGUUCUCAAAAAUGCCACGAGAAAGUCUGGAAGUUAGAUUCCUAAACAUCUAUUCAUAUCUUUACAAACGGUUAAUUCCUUAAGAGUGAUUAAUCAGCAGCAAAAUUCUAGUUUUGUUCAUUGGAAGCAAAGUUGAGACCGUGUUAAGUAUCAGAAGAGCAGUUGGGCUGGGAGUGGAAAUCCCAGUGUGUGAAGAGCCAUUGGAAAAGGAGAAAAAGGGGAAGGCUGACUUUCUGGAAUGCAGACCUCAACAGCACAGAGUUCCUCAGAAAGCUGAGCUGGACACAAGGCCAGGAACCUGCUUCUGCUAGGAGCUACAGAGCCCUUAAAAAGAACACCCCUUUAGCGUUACUGAAGAAAAAAUUGGAAAGGAAAUCAACAUAUUUAUUGGCCUCUAAAUGAAGGACCUCACCGAAAUAUGUUAAAUAACAACUGCUUCGUUCCUGUAUGAACAGGAAGAAACCAUCAGGGGUGUUUUGAUUCUCUUGUACUUGUCAUGGCUUCGGGUCAUCAGCAGGGUGGAGGCACCCAAAGGUGAGAGCAAUUCUUCUCCACCCAAGCAAGAGGACUAAUGUUUACUGUCUUAAACAUUGAAUUUUGGGGUGAAUUUAUUAUGUAGUAUUUUGUGGCAUAAAUGUUAUCAACAAACACUGAUGGAUCCACUAUACUAUUCCCAUUUAUUUGUAUUUACAUAUGUAAAAUGUUUAUUAUACCAAAGUAUUCAUUACCCACAGGAGCAAAGAGAUUGAGGGAGGAGAAGGGUGGAAAAUGAGGGAUUUUUUCUUUUACUCCAUCCACUUCUAUAAUUAGUGAAUUUUAUAUAAGUAUGAAUUACUUGUAUAGUUUAUAAAAGGAAAAUAAGCCUGACAAAAAUUGUUUCCACAAAUGAAAAAGUUCAUGAAACAGAAAUAUAUUCAGUGAACAUUGAAGUGCCAAAUUCUCAUUUAUAUUUCCUGGUAACCACUAUAAUGAAUUAUAAUCUUGCUACUCAAAGUGAGGUCCUUGGACCAGCAGCAAAGGCAUUACCUGGGAGCUGGUUGAAAAUGCAGAAUCUUUGGCCUCAUCUCAGAACAGCAGAAUCUGUAACAAAAUCCCCAAUGAUUCACAUACACAGAAAAGUUUGAGAAACAUCUCUCUAAAACUGUUACCAAGUCCAGGCUCAUGCUGCUCCCUGCCCAACAUGCAAAUAAGGCAAGAGACAGGUGUGGAUAAAAGGAAGGUUCCUAUGGCCAGGAUUCUCACCUGGCCGUGGUUAGCUGGCUCACUACACAUGUGUGGACAAUACAUUGUUAUUGACUCUAUAUAAAGAGCCUUGCCCAGUGCUCUGGGCGACGUGGUGGCAUGGCUGCAGGAGAGCAGAGCAGGGACUGGAGUGGUGGCAGCACCAAGAACAGAGACUGGGAUGGCUGUGCAGGCAGAGAGGCCCAGAGGACUGCUGCCCAGAGGAUGGCUGUGCGGGUAGAGAGGUCCAGGGGCAGAGACCUGCUUGCUGCAUACAGACUCGCUCUGAGUGGACGGAAUUUUAGUGAUUGACCUGCCACCCUGGAAAUAAAGUUGGAUAUAAACCCUUUCACCCCAAGAACAUUUUACUGUCAUUUCUUUGGUCUCACUGACUCCAUAGUGAACUUGCCCGGGGCUGAAACCCAUUGGCAAGACAGAAGGUGUUGGGACAAGGAAAGUGACUUUAUUCAGAAAGCCAGCAGACCAAGAAGAGUCUGACUUACAGCCUAAAACCACAUCUUAACUCAGGGUUGAUUGCAAGCUUCUUUCAUGCUAGGGAAGGAGGAGCAGGAUAGGGGGUGAUGGAAGGUUACAGACAUCUGGUGCCAAUGAGGGUCCGAGGAGAGCAGAGAAGGUCUGUGUCCUUGGUUAGUUGACUCUCCUUGACCUAGGUCUUGUCAUGAUGUUCCUAAACAGGGCAAUCAUUUGUAUGCAUAUUUCCCCAAUAUCUCUUGGAGGAGGCAAGCUUUGGGUAAGGAGUUAUUUGCAGAAAUCUCAAACCAUAAGCAAAAUUCCUUUUGAUGAAUAACAAGCCUAAGUUCAGGGCUGCAGGGCUCUGCAGGAGGGCUUUGCUUUUUCCUCCUUUUGGCCCAAAGGUCAAGGCAGCAAAGGAGACAAAAUACCAUAUGGAGGCAGAGAUGCCCAGCUUUAUCUAUCAGUUACAAACCAUUAAGCAUUUUUUUUAUUUUGGUUUAAGUCAAGAAAAAGAAACUAUUUAAAAAGUGA